GGCUAUUCAGUUACCGCGAAGCCAGGAAUAACAAAGCUCCUCUUUUGUCUGUUUCACAAAGGAAAUUGAAUCUGUACCUGACAUGUUUUUUUCAUUGGAUUAGCAGAAACUUGCUGGAUAUAUUUAAAAGAUGCUGCUAGACUUGAGUGCUUUAACACUUUCUGUUCUCAUUCAAGUGGGGAGAGUGCGUGGGGCCAGCAGUGACAAGAAUUUCCUGUGGAUGCACUCACCUUCAUAGUCGAAGGUUGCAAAGGAAAAGAAUGAGGUAGUUUUCAGACUGAUUCCCGGUAUGGCAGAACUCUCAUGAAGAAAGAUUGGAUCGACUGGACCUGUGCUUAUUAGAAUUUAGAAGAAUGAGGA